AACGUAGGUGACAAGCGUUAUCCGGAUUUACUGGGCGUAAAGCGUGUGCAGGCGGGGGGAUAAGUGGUGUAUGAAAACGCUCGGCUUAACCGGGCGCUGUUAUGCCAGACUAUCUCUCUGGAGCGCGAGAGAGGAGCGUGGAAUUCCGGGUGUAGUGGUGAAAUGCGUAGAGAUCCGGAGGAACCCCAGAGGCGAAGGCGGCGCUCUGGCUCGCGACUGCGCUCAGACACGACACAUGGGGAGCGAACGGGG
rnacentral:rRNA from 1 species